rnacentral:rRNA from 1 species
GACGUAGGGCGCGAGCGUUGUCCGGAUUUAUUGGGCGUAAAGAGCUCGUAGGCGGUCUGUCGCGUCUGCUGUGAAAACUCAGGGCUUAACCCUGAGCUUGCAGUGGGUACGGGCAGACUAGAGUGCGGUAGGGGAGACUGGAAUUCCUGGUGUAGCGGUGAAAUGCGCAGAUAUCGGGAGGAACACCAGCGGCGAAGGCGGCACUCUGGGCUGGAACUGACGCUGAGGAGCGAAAGCGUGGGGAGCGAUCCGG